rnacentral:lncRNA from 1 species
AUGCUCAGAGUGGCGCGCUUGGUCUUGGUUUGCUGCCCGCGACAACAAACUGGCAAAGACAUGGAGGUCACCAUGGCAGGCCUUUGGGGGCUUGUGGUCAGAGUGCAGCAACUUUUCUCACAGAGCCCCCAAGGGUCUGGUCUGGACUGGAGCCCUGCCGCCUUGCAGGCCCUGCUUCAGGCAUGGACCAGGGCAUCUGAAGGCUCGUUGGCAUGUUUUGACGACGUUCUGGAUAUUCCUGAGUUCCUGAGUGUGUCCAUUCAAGAAAUGACCAAGUACUUGGACUUCUUUAAAUGGACUUUGAGGAACCCAGAUUCCAGAGAGUUUUCCCAACUUGUGGCGUAUUUACAGGGUCGAGCCACACACAUAGUGCAGGUGAUGAGCAGGUACGUGGACCAAGAUCGAGAUCCCAUUUUCCGGAAUGGCCUGAGAGUCUUGAUCCAGCAGCUGGACCAGUCUUCACGGUUCUUGAGUGCAGCUGCUGAGUGCUGUUCAGGUGGGCACGGCACUCGGGGUACAGAUGCAUUUCUAACCAUGGCAAAACACCUGAUCCAUUCAGCCCAGAGCAUCCAAGAGGGGCUGGAUGGGACUAACCACCCAGAUAUCCUUAGCCCUCUUCGAAACCAAGUCCAAAGGUUUGACACUACUAAGGGACCACCUUAUUUUAUUCUCCCCAGCCUUCUGGACUCUACAGCUCCUGCACUGAAACACCAGGGGGAACCUGUGCUGGAGAAAAGCAACCCAGGCACCUCCUAUCCACCGAGGAACAAUCUUUCCUACCUCUUGAUUCCUGACAUCCAUCCCCAGAUGGGGCACACUCCACACCCAGGCAUCAGCAAACUCAUCCUUGCUGUAGAGAGCAAGAGCCACCAGGCACUGACCUCAGCUAGCACUAACUUGCAGGAGCAGGAUGCAGACAUGGAUGUACCUCCAGAGGCUCUGGGGUCAGAGAAGAUGCCUGGACUCCAAGAAAUCCCAACAUCAGCACCUUCUGGUAUUGACCUAACAAGGGAGAUAACACACUGCACAACUGCUAGACCUGAUGGGCUUCUGAAAGUGGCUCUCCAGCUGUCUGGGAGGCCCCAGGAAACUGGGCAGAGUUUGGUGGCCAGGGCUGGUGACUGGUACCCUCUGUGCCAACAGCUAUUUUGUCACAACCCAGCAGCUGAUCUUCCAGGGAACAUGGCAGUUUUCAUAGAGCUGCAGCAGAAUUUAGCCUCAGUGGUUCAACUAGCAGCCAAAAGUGGGCCUCUGGAUUUAGGGAAGGACCUUAAUUCAACUGGGCGUCCAGAAGCACUUUUACAAAUGCAAGGCAGAUUGGAGGAGGUGGAGACCCAUGGCAAACAGCUAUUGGACAAGAUUCUGGCUUCUGAUGGCCUCCAAGCCCCUAAGUCAUGGGAGGAGAGCAUUAAGGAUGAAUGCCUUCUAUGGUCAGUGGCUGUCCAAGACCUACUCCAGUGCAUGGAGAGACUCAGCAGGAGACAAGGCCUGUUCUUGCUGCCCCUGAGACAAGCCAUGAAGGAGCAGCAGGGACUGCAGGAAGGGUUGGCCCAGGCAGCAGAUGUUUCUCAGAGGCUACAAGAGGCUGCCAGGCUGUCUAGCCUCCUAUGCAGAGAUGUGCAGGUUAAAGGUGAGGUCUCCUUUUUGUGCAGGGAAAUUCAUGUGCUCACAGAUGCUCUGCUGGAUGUGGCAGUGAUCCUGGCCUCUUCCCCAAAACCAUCUCCCAGCCUGUCCACACGCUUUGAACUUCUCUACUUAGAGCUCUCCUUUCGAACCAAGGCCCUGACUGGUCACCUGAGCAUCAUUAAUGCAGACUAUGAACAUGCCUUCCAAGAUGCCUUCUGUCCAAGGCUCUCUGUCUCUAGAGAACCUCAGACCAGACGAGAAAGCUCCCUGGAAAGAAUGGUGUCUGGUAUCCUCGCUGCACAGAGAAUUGUGGCAGGAAGUCAGGAGUAUGGGACCUGCCAAGAAGACCUUUUAAUGGCUCUGGAGAGCAUUCUUGUCCUCACCAAGGAGGUGGCCCAGAGGAUCCCAGUGCUCCAAGAUUGCCCAGAGGAGUGGAGAAUGCACAUCCUGGACUGGCUUCAGUGGGAGUGGGCAGCCAGGGCCCAUCAUGCCAUGGCCCAGGUCCAGGCCUGGAAAGGUGGUUACACCGAGGCCUGGAGACUCCUGGCCCAGUGCCUAAAGCCCAGUGAGGAGAUGGCAGUGAUGAAACCCAGGGGUGAACAGGACUCUGCCCAUCCCCAGCUCUGCUGUGAGGAGGGUGCAUCAGAAGCUGUUGCAGUGAACAGAGUGGAGUCUCAGGGUGCUGCCCCCCAAAACACCCCAGGGAGCUCAGUGGGGACCUAUGCCGCUGAUCCAGCCAUCACUGGGACAGUCGAGGCAGACCUAGACACGGUAGGGCUGUCAGCAUCUUUCCUCCUCCCCCACCACAGCCCUCUUUUUUUAUUUUUUUAA